CCUACGGGAGGCAGCAGUGGGGAAUUUUGGGCAAUGGGCGCAAGCCUGACCCAGCAACGCCGCGUGAAGGAAGAAGGCUUUCGGGUUGUAAACUUCUUUUCUCAGGGACGAAGCAAGUGACGGUACCUGAGGAAGAAGCCACGGCUAACUACGUGCCAGCAGCCGCGGUAAUACGUAGGAGGCAAGCGUUAUCCGGAUUUACUGGGUGUAAAGGGCGUGUAGGCGGGAAAGCAAGUCAGAUGUGAAAACCAUGGGCUCAACCUGUGGCCUGCAUUUGAAACUGUUUUUCUUGAGUACUGGAGAGGCAGCCGGAAUUCCUAGUGUAGCGGUGAAAUGCGUAGAUAUUAGGAGGAACACCAGUGGCGAAGGCGGUUUGCUGGACAGUAACUGACGCUGAGGCGCGAAAGCGAGGGGAGCAAACAGGAUUAGAUACCCCAGUAGUC
rnacentral:rRNA from 1 species